UACGUAGGGUGCGAGCGUUAAUCGGAAUUACUGGGCGUAAAGCGUGCGCAGGCGGCGCGUUAAGACAGGUGUGAAAGCCCCGAGCUUAACUUGGGAAUUGCGCUUGUGACUGGCGUGCUGGAGUGUGGCAGAGGGAGGUGGAAUUCCACGUGUAGCAGUGAAAUGCGUAGAGAUGUGGAGGAACACCGAUGGCGAAGGGCAGCCUCCUGG
rnacentral:rRNA from 1 species